GGGGGCGCCGCGUUGGAACGCCCAAAGGGGUUGGGGGUUCGGGUGCGGUGGGCGAGCAAGCGAGUGUAUGGCGGCCAGGCCCAGAAGGCCACGAGGACCGCUGGCGCCGAGGCGUCAGUCUUUCAGACUCCAAAAGUAGCAAAGGCCGAGCGAGGAGGUUAGGGGCUCCCAAAGGCCAGCCCUUGGGGCUGUUGAUGGCCAGGCUAACCCGACAGGAGGCGCCGCUGCCACCGAGUGACUGGCUACCAGAUUCUGAAACCCUAAGUGCCUUGGAUGAGUGGGGCUUAAGAGACCACAGAACUGGGUCAAGGAUUAAGCUCAGUGGCACCACACCUGCCUUGCAAGCUCAAGGUCCUGGGUUUGAUCCCUGGUACCAAAAAAAAAAAAAAAAAUUAGAGGCCACAGAACUACAGCCAGACAUUUGAGGAAGCAGCAAAUACAAAAGACAGCUGAGUGGCCUGGCCAAAGACAGCUGAGAGAUUUGGUGUGGUGAGAGCCGAGGAUGAGCACCACGUGGAUGGACUGGAGGAUCAUCUUGGUCAGCCAGAUCAUCAGGAGGACUGGAGAAGGCACGCCAAGGUGCGCUACCGGAUUGUGGCUACCUGCUGCACACUGGUCAGCAAGGCAGUUUCCCCGCCGCCCGCCCGCCGGAUGAAGAUGGCAGGAGCGAGCCACCUCUCGGCUCCCCUUCCCAGCAUCCAAGCCCCGGCGGGCCAGAUGCGACACCUUUUCCCCGGCCAGGGCCACGCUCCUUCAGACUCGAGGUACUGUGCCCUCGCAACAGACGCGACCCGCACUCCACCCUACUCCCCUUUCCGCCCAAGACCACCGCGCAGACCCUGCGGUCGCUUUUCUCCUUCAUCCUAGCGCUGCGCGCCAGCAGCCCAGGAACUUCCAGCCGAGCCGCAGGCAGCCCCGCCGCCUUAGCAGCUGCGCGAAAAGGAUGGCGAUGCCCCGACGUGAUCGAGUCCGCGCUGCCAACCCGAGUAGCCCCAAGGGUACCUCCAAAAGUUUCUGUACCUCUACCCGCAGCCCUCUUAAGGACCGGCGAUUGGACCAGGAGAGGUUGGCGCUGUGGGGCACUGACAGAAGCCCAGAGCACUUCCUGUGAGAUGCCUGGGGCACCGGUGCCCUUGUCCUCCUGCUACAAGGGGUCACCUCAGCCAGCCUUUCACUUUCCUCCACCCAUCAGUGCCACUCCAGCCUGCCUCUCCAGAAGCUUUGGUGCAGGGAUCACGAGGCUAAGGGCGAACUUGUGAGUUAACCACAGAGACGGCUGCCUCGUUCCCAUGGAGAAACCAGG
rnacentral:lncRNA from 1 species